rnacentral:rRNA from 1 species
CCCUUAGACGUUCUGGGCCGCACGCGCGCUACACUGACCAGUGCAACAAGCAUCCGUCCUUGGCCGACAGGCCCGGGCAAUCUUUGAACGCUGGUCGUGAUGGGGAUAGACUUUUGCAAUUUUUGGUCUUCAACGAGGAAUUCCUAGUAAACGCAAGUCAUCAACUUGCAUUGAUUACGUCCCUGCCCUUUGUACACGCCGCCCGUCGCACCUACCGAUUGAAUGGUCCGGUGAAGCCUCCGGAUUGGCGCGCACCUCGGUGCCGCCGAGAAGUUGGCUAAACCUUACCAUUUAGAGGAAGGUGAAGUCGUAACA